rnacentral:rRNA from 1 species
CGAACGCUGGCGGCGUGCUUAACACAUGCAAGUCGAACGGAAAGGCCCUGCUUUUGUGGGGUGCUCGAGUGGCGAACGGGUGAGUAACACGUGAGUAACCUGCCCUUGACUUUGGGAUAACUUCAGGAAACUGGGGCUAAUACCGGAUAGGAGCUCCUGCUGCAUGGUGGGGGUUGGAAAGUUUCGGCGGUUGGGGAUGGACUCGCGGCUUAUCAGCUUGUUGGUGGGGUAGUGGCUUACCAAGGCUUUGACGGGUAGCCGGCCUGAGAGGGUGACCGGCCACAUUGGGACUGAGAUACGGCCCAGACUCCUACGGGAGGCAGCAGUGGGGAAUAUUGCACAAUGGGCGGAAGCCUGAUGCAGCAACGCCGCGUGCGGGAUGACGGCCUUCGGGUUGUAAACCGCUUUCGCCUGUGACGAAGCGUGAGUGACGGUAAUGGGUAAAGAAGCACCGGCUAACUACGUGCCAGCAGCCGCGGUGAUACGUAGGGUGCGAGCGUUGUCCGGAUUUAUUGGGCGUAAAGGGCUCGUAGGUGGUUGAUCGCGUCGGAAGUGUAAUCUUGGGGCUUAACCCUGAGCGUGCUUUCGAUACGGGUUGACUUGAGGAAGGUAGGGGAGAAUGGAAUUCCUGGUGGAGCGGUGGAAUGCGCAGAUAUCAGGAGGAACACCAGUGGCGAAGGCGGUUCUCUGGGCCUUUCCUGACGCUGAGGAGCGAAAGCGUGGGGAGCGAACAGGCUUAGAUACCCUGGUAGUCCACGCUGUAAACGGUGGGUACUAGGUGUGGGGUCCAUUCCACGGGUUCCGUGCCGUAGCUAACGCUUUAAGUACCCCGCCUGGGGAGUACGGCCGCAAGGCUAAAACUCAAAGGAAUUGACGGGGCCCCGCACAAGCGGCGGAGCAUGCGGAUUAAUUCGAUGCAACGCGUAGAACCUUACCUGGGUUUGACAUGGAUCGGGAGUGCUCAGAGAUGGGUGUGCCUCUUUUGGGGUCGGUUCACAGGUGGUGCAUGGCUGUCGUCAGCUCGUGUCGUGAGAUGUUGGGUUAAGUCCCGCAACGAGCGCAACCCUUGUUCACUGUUGCCAGCACGUUAUGGUGGGGACUCAGUGGAGACCGCCGGGGUCAACUCGGAGGAAGGUGGGGAUGACGUCAAGUCAUCAUGCCCCUUAUGUCCAGGGCUUCACGCAUGCUACAAUGGCUGGUACAGAGAGUGGCGAGCCUGUGAGGGUGAGCGAAUCUCGGAAAGCCGGUCUCAGUUCGGAUUGGGGUCUGCAACUCGACCUCAUGAAGUCGGAGUCGCUAGUAAUCGCAGAUCAGCAACGCUGCGGUGAAUACGUUCCCGGGGCUUGUACACACCGCCCGUCAAGUCAUGAAAGUUGGUAACACCCGAAGCCGGUGGCCUAACCGUUGUGGGGGAGCCGUCGAAGGUGGGACUGGUA